rnacentral:rRNA from 1 species
UGGGGAAUAUUGCACAAUGGGCGCAAGCCUGAUGCAGCCAUGCCGCGUGUAUGAAGAAGGCCUUCGGGUUGUAAAGUACUUUCAGCGGGGAGGAAGGUGUUGAGGUUAAUAACCUCAGCAAUUGACGUUACCCGCAGAAGAAGCACCGGCUAACUCCGUGCCAGCAGCCGCGGUAAUACGGAGGGUGCAAGCGUUAAUCGGAAUUACUGUGCGUAAAGCGCACGCAGGCGGUCUGUCAAGUCGGAUGUGAAAUCCCCGGGCUCAACCUGGGAACUGCAUUCGAAACUGGCAGGCUAGAGUCUUGUAGAGGGGGGUAGAAUUCCAGGUGUAGCGGUGAAAUGCGUAGAGAUCUGGAGGAAUACCGGUGGCGAAGGCGGCCCCCUGGACAAAGACUGACGCUCAGGUGCGAAAGCGUGGGGAGCAAACA